ACUGAUAUUAUUUUGCAUUUAUUUAAUUUUCUCUGGAUGCUGCAGCUUAUUUUGAGUAAAUAGCAACAGAAAAUGGUCUCGGAAGGCAAAGCGAGCUGCAACGUACAUCUGGUGCGUACAUGCAAAACUAGAAAGGGAAGCGGAACAAGGAUUAUGCCACUUUAGGCAGAUGGAUAUUUGCAAACUUCGGAGGAAAAACUAAAGCUUCAGCUGAAUGUAGCAGCAACAACAAGAAAUACAUAUUCAAAUUCACAAUUAAAGUAAAAUCGCACAACGCAACAAGCAAAUAACAAGCACUUUCAACACUUAUUUUCGACGUGCUAAACACAGUGUCUCCUAUGAUGCCCUUGGAUCUACACAAUGGAUAAUUAACAGAGCUCUAAAAACAACAUUGAGGCGCCGAAGUUGUUCAUCUUGCUUCUGAUUUGAUUAUUAAGGCAUUACUAGUCUGAUCUUACAAUUUAUCAUUUUCAAUAUUGUGAUUGUUAACUUAUAAAUUUUGAACGUACGCAAUAGCACUCAAUUUAUUAAUAUAAAUGUGAAAUAUUGUUAAAUUAGCAUCUAUAUACAAAUGAAUGUACACAUAUUUGUAACAAUCGUAAUAGUAGUGAAAUUUAAUUUGUAUUGUAUA